CACGUAGGGCGCAAGCGUUGUCCGGAAUUAUUGGGCGUAAAGAGCUCGUAGGCGGUCUGUUGCGUCUGCUGUGAAAACUCGGGGCUUAACCCCGGGCCUGCAGUGGGUACGGGCAGACUAGAGUGCGGUAGGGGAGACUGGAAUUCCUGGUGUAGCGGUGAAAUGCGCAGAUAUCAGGAGGAACACCGGUGGCGAAGGCGGUUCUCUGGGCAUUACCUGACGCUGAGGAGCGAAAGUGUGGGGAGCGAACAGG
rnacentral:rRNA from 1 species